GAGAAUUACAUGGAAUGGGUAUUAAACAUAGCCCUGAGUUCUACUGUUGUUGUGUUUUACGAUUUGAUUUCACUAAACUUUUAAGUGAUCGCCAAUCACGAUCAAACAGGAUUUUUUUCCAACCACAUUUCUUUCUUGAAGACGAGGGUUCCCCAUUAUCCUUCCAAUUUUUGAUAAUGCGUUGGACCGUUCUUAACCCAAUUUUAGUAGUUUC